CCUACGGGAGGCUGCAGUGGGGAAUAUUGGACAAUGGGGGGAACCCUGAUCCAGCCAUGCCGCGUGUGUGAAGAAGGCCCUCGGGUUGUAAAGCACUUUCAGUGAGGAAGAACGCCUGGUGGUUAAUACCCAUCAGGAAAGACAUCACUCACAGAAGAAGCACCGGCUAACUCCGUGCCAGCAGCCGCGGUAAUACGGAGGGUGCGAGCGUUAAUCGGAAUUACUGGGCGUAAAGCGCGCGUAGGUGGCUUGAUAAGCCGGUUGUGAAAGCCCCGGGCUCAACCUGGGAACGGCAUCCGGAACUGUCAAGCUAGAGUGCAGGAGAGGAAAGUAGAAUUCCCGGUGUAGCGGUGAAAUGCGUAGAGAUCGGGAGGAAUACCAGUGGCGAAGGCGGCCUUCUGGACUGAAACUGACACUGAGGUGCGAAAGCGUGGGUAGCAAACAGGAUUAGAUACCCUGGUAGUC
rnacentral:rRNA from 1 species